CCAAUUUUCCGAUCCACAGCUCGAUUAGCCCGUUAUUAGUCCGCCCGCAUCUCUUUUCCAGCGCAUUUCAAUUUUCCGACCCACAGCUCGAACCUUGUCCAACCAACCCUAAACCCAAAAUCGAUUCUCCCCCCUCCAAAACCGGCAUAUACCCUAAACCCCUUUCUCUCUCUCUCUCUCCCUCUCUCAGCAACUCAUUCAUGGCGAAGAAAUCAGACGCCACGAAGAACAGCAGUGCGAGCAGCAAUGACAAGAAGAAGAAGAAAAACAAGAAGAGCAAACCCGGCGGUCCCACCGCCGUGGCCAUGAAGCAGCCUAGAGCCCCCAAACCGAACCCCUUCGAGACCAUCUGGUCCAGGCGCAAAUUCGACGUGCUCGGAAAGAAGCGGAAGGGCGAGGAGCAACGCAUCGGCCUCGCUCGCUCCAUUGCCAUCCGAAAGAGGGAGAAGACAUUGUUGAAGGAGUAUGAGCAGAGUGGAAAGUCAUCGGUGUUUAUCGAUAAGCGUAUCGGGGAGCAAAAUGAUGAGCUUGGUGAGUUCGACAAGGCCAUAUUGAGGUCACAGCGCGAGCGCCAGCUGAAAUUGAACAAGAAGAGCAAGUAUAACUUAUCAGAUGGGGAAGAAGACGAAUUUGACAAUCAAAAUGGACUUCAAGGAAGGGAUGAUUUCGAGGAUGAAGUACCAUUUGAUGAGGAGGACGAUGUCGAAGAUCCUGAUACUGAGAAGAAGUCUUCAAUUUUGAAACAACUCAAUGGCACCGAUGCUUUGAAUGCACUGAAGUCAGGUUUCAUCGAAGGAGAGGAAAAUAGGCACAAAACUAAAAAGGAAGUGAUGGAGGAGAUCAUUUCUAAGAGUAAAUACUUCAAGGCCGAGAAGGCUAAAGAAAAGGAAGAAAAUGAACAGCUGGUAGAAGAAUUGGACAAAAAUUUCACAUCCCUAGUGGAGUCUAGGGCAUUGUUAUCUUUGACUCAACCAGACAAGAUGAAUGCUUUGAAGGCUUUGGUGAAUAAAAGUAUUUCGAGCGAGAAUGUCAAGAAGGAUAUUGCAAUUGUUCCUCAGAACAUAGAUACACUUCAGCAGGAUAAACCUGAUUCUUAUGACAAACUUGUCAAAGAGAUGGGAUUGGACAUGCGUGCUCGCCCAUCAGAAAGGACAAAGACACCAGAGGAAAUUGCCCAAGAUGAGAAAGAGAGGCUAGAGCAAUUGGAGGAAAAGCGUCAGAAGAGGAUGCUUGCUGCUGAUGAUUCCAGUGAUGAGGACGAAAAUGCUUAUGAAGUUGUUGCCCAGAGGCCAAAGUCUAUUUCUGGGGAUGACCUUGGCGAUUCUUUCUCUCUUGAUGAAGAGAGAAGAACUAAAAGGAAUUGGAUUGAGCAGAUUCUGGAGAGGAAAAUUAAGAAUGAUGGUGGAAGUGAACAUGAAAUGUCUUCUGAGGAUCCAGAGAGUGACGAGGAUGAUGGUGAUGAAGAAGGAACUGAUGAAGACAGUGAUGAAGAUGAUAAGACUAACUCUUUGAAGGACUGGGAACAGAGUGAUGACGACAAUGUUGGUACAGAUUUGGAAGGAGACGAAGGAGAAGAAGAGGAUGGAGGUGAUGAAGAGAUGGAGCCAAAACACUCUAAAAAGGGAGGACUGAUUGGCCCAAUAGUACAUCCUGAGAAAACCAAAGGAAAUGGUAAGAUGCCUUCAAGUCAACCAGGGGAGCUUCCCUACGUCAUAGCUGCUCCAAAAAGCUUGGAAGAAUUAUCUGCAUUGUUUGAGAAUCGUUCUGAUAGCCAAAUUGUUGAAGCAAUCAGGCGAAUACGCACCUGUAAUGCAAUCAGCAUUGCUGCAGAAAAUCGGAAGAAAAUGCAAAUGUUUUAUGGUGUUCUACUGCAGUUUUUUGCUGUUACAGCAAAUAAAAGACCAUUGAAUUUCAAGUUAUUAAAUUUGCUUGUCAAGCCAUUGAUGGAGAUGAGUAGGGAGAUUCCAUACUUUGCCGCCAUUUGUGCUCGUCAACGCCUACUCCGGACUCGAACACAGUUCUGUGAGGAUGUCAAGAAUCCAGAAAAAAGCUGUUGGCCGUCUCUGAAAACAUUAUUGCUCUUAAGGCUUUGGUCCAUGAUAUUUCCAUGCUCUGAUUUUCGACAUGCUGUCAUGACCCCAGCGGUAUUGUUGAUGUGUGAAUAUUUGAUGCGUUGUCCCAUUAUGUCUGGGCGGGAUAUUGCUCUUGGUUCCUUUCUCUGCUCUAUGGUCCUCUCUGUCACUAAACAAUCUCGAAAGUACUGUUCUGAGGCCAUUACUUUCAUUCAUACCUUGCUGAUGGCAGCAAUGUACAGAAAACCUGGAAGAAUUCAGGAUUCUCAGCAGUGGCAUCAUUUUAUGGAAAUUAAAACACCCAGCCCUCUGCUUUGUAUACAUACAUGUGUGAAAAAGAUCAGUCCUCUGGAUUUCUUCAAGUUAAUGGACAUGCCUGAGGAUUCCCCUUUCUUCAGCUCUGAUAAUUUCAGGGCCAGCACUCUUGCAUCUGUAAUUGAAACUCUCCGAGGAUUUGUUAACGCUUGUGAAGGAUUUAGCUCCUUCCCGGAAAUAUUCUCACCAAUUUCAAAAUUAUUAACUGAAUUGGCAGAACAAGAACACAUGCCUUGUGCUUUACGAGAUAACAUCAGAGAUGUUUUCCAACUUAUAGAGAAGAAAGUCCAAGAACAUCAAAUGCUGCGUUGCCCGCUGCAGAUGCGAAAGCAAAAGCCAGUGCCUAUUAAAUUGCUCAAUCCGAAGUUUGAGGAGAACUUUGUAAAGGGCAGAGAUUAUGACCCAAAUCGUGAACGAGCUGAGAUGAAAAAGUUAAAGAGGCAUGUAAGACGGGAAGCUCAUGGUGCAGCCCGUGAACUGAGGAAAGAUAAUCACUUCCUAUCUGCAAGGAAGGAUAAAGAAAAGGCACAACUAGAGGAAGAAAGAGCUGAGAAGUACGGAAAAGCAAAAGCUUUCCUCCAAGAACAAGAACAUGCAUUCAAAUCUGGGCAAUUGGGAAAGGGUAAGAAGAGGAGUAGAUGAUGCUGGCUUUGGAUGGUGCCUUAUGAUACUGCUUCCCUCGGUCGCGGUGUCCAUGCUACUGUAGGUAUUGCUUGCUUCCUUCCAGGAGUUGCUGCCGAAUUUGUUGGUGGAACCACUGUAGUAAGUUACCUUUUAAACCUAAUCUCAACAAAAUUUGGCAGUGUUGUCCAUUGCUUCUUGGAAAGAAUAGCCUCGACUGGAGAAAUCAAUCACAUGUACUGAUGGUGCCCUUGCGAAUUUAUGUAUAAUUGAUGUAGUUGUGGAGAAUUUGCCAUAUCAAUUUUGACCAGUUGAUUAUAGGUUUAUUAUGAAUUGUGGAGAAUUCGCCAUAUAAAUUUUGGCCAGUUGAUUAUAGGUUUCUUAUGAAGAUACAAACUGAGGUAGCACUACGCAUGCUGUUACUAUAUUUUUUAUAGUUUUUUUUUUUCAAGUGAUACGUUCAUCA